rnacentral:rRNA from 1 species
UAGCGGCGGACGGGUGAGUAACACGUGGGUAACCUGCCUGUAAGACUGGGAUAACUCCGGGAAACCGGAGCUAAUACCGGAUAGUUCCUUGAACCGCAUGGUUCAAGGAUGAAAGACGGUUUCGGCUGUCACUUACAGAUGGACCCGCGGCGCAUUAGCUAGUUGGUGAGGUAACGGCUCACCAAGGCGACGAUGCGUAGCCGACCUGAGAGGGUGAUCGGCCACACUGGGACUGAGACACGGCCCAGACUCCUACGGGAGGCAGCAGUAGGGAAUCUUCCGCAAUGGACGAAAGUCUGACGGAGCAACGCCGCGUGAGUGAUGAAGGUUUUCGGAUCGUAAAGCUCUGUUGUUAGGGAAGAACAAGUGCAAGAGUAACUGCUUGCACCUUGACGGUACCUAACCAGAAAGCCACGGCUAACUACGUGCCAGCAGCCGCGGUAAUACGUAGGUGGCAAGCGUUGUCCGGAAUUAUUGGGCGUA